GCGCGUUCUUGGCUGGCUCUCGCGGCCUCGGUCUCGAAUUCUCGAUGCAGCAGACAGCACCAGCAGACGAACGAGGCGCGGGGAAAGGAACACCGACGACUGGACUGGACCCGGCCCGGCCGUCGCCGAGGACGCACACGCACACCACCGCCGUUCCGAAUCAACAGCGACGGACAGGGAACGUUGAAACUUGGAAAAAAAAAAAGUGAAGCCGUACAGGCAGAGACAGAGGCGCUCGCACCGGCGUCCCCUCCUCGCGACCUCGCCUGCUCCAGCUCAAACGCGCGCGCGCGCUGACCGGCAGGUUUGGAUUGGACGCGUGCGCUGCAUCCUGCGGGGCGGAACCGGCGCCGCGGUGCGGAGGCCCGACGACUGCGGGUGGCCGUGCGUGACCGGCAAGGUAGCUUUUACUAGGAGUGUACUGUGUACCCCCCAGGCACCCGGCACGACCUGCUGUCUUGGGGCUUCGCGAGACCCGGCAGAUCAACGUCGGAGUGGACAAUGGACACUGCA
rnacentral:lncRNA from 1 species